CAACCUCAACUCAUAUGGGACUACCCCCUGAAUUUAAGCAUAUUAAUAAGGGGAGGAAAAGAAACUAACCAGGAUUUUCUUAGUAGCGGCGAGCGAAAAGAAAUCAGUUCAGCACUAAGUCACUUUGUCUAUAUGGCAAAUGUGAGAUGCAGUGUAUGGAGCGUCAAUAUUCUAGUAUGAGAAAUUAACGAUUUAAGUCCUUCUUAAAUGAGGCCAUUUACCCAUAGAGGGUGCCAGGCCCGUAUAA
rnacentral:rRNA from 1 species